rnacentral:tRNA from 1 species
GCCUGAGUAGCUCAGCUGGUAGAGCAGCGCUUUCGUAAAGCGCAGGUCGCGAGUUCGAGUCUCGCCUCAGGCUCCA